rnacentral:rRNA from 1 species
CCUACGGGUGGCAGCAGUGGGGAAUAUUGGGCAAUGGAGGCAACUCUGACCCAGCAAUGCCGCGUGAGUGAUGAAGGUAAUUUUAUUGUAAAGCUCUUUUCUUUGGAACGAAUAAAUGACGGUACCAAAGGAUUAACCCCCGGCUAAAUACGUGCCAGCAGCCGCGGUCAUACGUAGGGGGCAAGUGUUGUUCGGAAUGACUGGGCGUUAAGGGUGUGUAGGUGGUUUGAUAAGUUAGAUGUGGAAUACCCAGGGCUUAACGCGGGUACUGCAUCUAAAACUGUUAGACUUGAGUACGGGAGAGGAUAGUGGAAUUCCUGGUGUAGCGGUGGAAUGCGUAGAUAUUAGGAGGAACAUCAGUGGCGAAGGCGACUAUCUGGACAGCAACUGACACUGAGGCACGAAAGCGUGGGGAGCAAACAGGAUUAGAUACCCGGGUAGUC